rnacentral:rRNA from 1 species
AUGAGUAUCUUGUGCUGGAACUGUCGCGGGAUCGGCAACGCCCCGACAGUUCAAGAGCUACGCGAACUCGCGACAAAGUUUGCCCCUAAAGUACUUUGUAUUGUCGAAACUCAGAUCAAUAGAGUUAGAACAGAAAAUCUAGCAAGUACUUUAGGUUUUGAUAAUUGUUUUGCUGUUGAUUCCUGGUUGUCUUUUGGAAUAAUGAAAUAA